AUGGAGAGUAUGUCCAAUAAAGACCUAUGAAUCUUGUCAGGUCCGGAAGGAAGCUGCAAUAAGUAGAAUUCUUUAUGUGGAAAUGCUUUCCGUAGA
rnacentral:SRP_RNA from 1 species